CUCUUUGUGCACCCGCCCACACGGUUUGCCGUGUUUUCACCCUUCUUUGUUCUCCACCGGUCUGGGCAGGGUCUGAGGACUCCGGAGAGCAAGGCAUGGGUCCGCCUCGUGCCGCAGGUUCCUGGCCCACGCCAGCCGUACCCAGUAGCACAAUGGGAUUUGAGGACACACGCCAGCUGCCUACACCUGAAGAAAGGGUGAGCUCUGAGGACUUCACAGGGGCCCCAUCCCCUCACCUAGAUGAGGGCUAACCUUGGAAUCCAGACAAAGGUGGAAGUGACCUAGAUGUGACCUGAAUGAGCUAAUCAUCUAAUGAGAGCCAGCCCUUUGUCCUGCCCACAUGAAGGGCUUUGCUGCUACGCACUGACAAGUUGGACGGCUUUUUAUUGCUUUGUUGCCAGUUAUCUGAACAUGAGAGGCUGUAAGGUGUAAUCUGCGAGCCCUGCGCCCAGACUGAACCAGGGCCUCCCUUGAACAUGAGUAUUAGACAAAUGAAAUAAGAACUUAUCUUGCCCAGACUAUAUAAUGGCUUGGAAAUGCAUAGUUUCCUGAACGAUCUCAAUAAAAUACUUUUAAAAG
rnacentral:sRNA from 1 species